rnacentral:rRNA from 1 species
UACAGAGGGUGCAAGCGUUGUUCGGAAUUAUUGGGCGUAAAGAGCUCGUAGGCGGUGUGUCGCGUCGUCCGUGAAAACCUGCAGCUUAACUGUGGGCUUGCGGUCGAUACGGGCAGGCUAGAGUCCGGCAGGGGAGACUGGAAUUCCUGGUGUAGCGGUGAAAUGCGCAGAUAUCAGGAGGAACACCGGUGGCGAAGGCGACAUCCUGGACCGGUAUUGACGCUGAGGCGCGAAAGCCAGGGGAGCAAACGGG